rnacentral:lncRNA from 1 species
CUCCCUCGAGGGCUGAAUAAUAACGCAAAUGGUCCUGCAUUUAAACAUCGGUUUAAAGAGCUCAUGAGGGUCACCCCUCCUAUGUGGCCAAUCCUUGCUCUAGCCUUGGUAGAAUUCGGGAUCAGGGCUCUGAUUAGGAGGAGCGGUUAGCCCUCGGGAUGCGGUACAGGGAGACAUUGAAGCUGGCUUCUUCCUCCGCGUCUCAGUGUUAGCAGCUACGACAGAGGCCAGCCCUACGCCACCGAGUGGUCAGACGACGAGAGUGGGAACCCCUUUGGGGGCAGUGAGACCAACGGGGGCGCCAACCCCUUUGAGGACGACUCCAAGGGAGUGCGCGUGCGGGCACUCUACGACUAUGACGGCCAGGAGCAGGACGAGCUCAGCUUUAAGGCCGGAGACGAACUCACCAAGCUGGGCGAGGAGGAUGAGCAGGGCUGGUGCCGUGGGCGGCUGGACAGCGGGCAGCUGGGCCUUUACCCUGCCAACUACGUGGAGGCUAUCUAGAGGCCCCCUCCCUCCAUACUCCCCUCACUCCUCCCCACUGCCUCCCCUCCCCUCCCACUCUCGUCUCCUUCCCCUCGCCAUAGAGUUCCAGACAUAUUUUCCGAUCAAGGUUUUAUUUUUUUAAAAGUCAAAACAGAACAAAACAAAGUAUGCAGAGACAGAGCAUUUGCAGGGCCACCUGGAGGCUGGGGUGCUGGGGCUUGGGGUGGCCCCAGGGUAGGUAACAGUCUUAGGACUUAGCCCAACAUCACAACAUCUGCUCUUCGGGUUCCACCAAAGAGUCUCCUGAGCCCUGAGGGAUGGAUGUCUCCUGACCCUUCCACCCUGCCUCACUCCCUCCGUCCCACUCCACUCCAGGCUGCCGGCACCUGCCCCAUUCCCUGGCCUGGUUUCCUAACCUCUUCUUCCUCCCCUGCCCUGCUUCCCUUCCUCCACCACCCUGCUCUCAAAGGCCUCCUCUCCAGACCCCUGGAAGGGAGGCUUCCCCAUCUUUAGUCUUCCACUCUGCCCCGGGGAGCACCCUUCUACUCCUAGCCACGUCCCUUGGGACCGGUGGGACUGGAGGAGGAACGGUCACCCUCCUCCCCCAUGGAGGUUUCCAGGGGUCCCCCAGACAUGAAAGAGGGGUCAGCUGGAGGAAGUCAUGGUGUCACUGGGGUACAGGAGGGUGAAUGAAGUGCAUGCAGGCCCUCAGCCCGGGCUGUGCCAGCCCUCCCAGCCCCAGGCCCAUCUGAGGGACCAAGACCCUGUUACGCAGGCCCUUCUUUCCAGCUAUCAGCACUUUGAGCAUCGGUUCUUCAGCAGAUCCAAACCCCCUCAGCAACUUGCAGAGGACCUGUCCCCUCUCAAAAGUCCCCUGGCCUAGGGUGGGGACCCCCAAACCUACGGCAAAGCCAGCAACAGUAGCAGCCUCCUCCCAUUUGCUGGGGAGGAGGUCAUCUUGUUCCCCUGGCCCCCCACUCUCCCUCCAUGUCCAUCCAAAAACCAUAAAAUCACUGGGUUCCACAUCAGCCUCCAUGAAGCCAAGCCUUGUACCUGCAAGGCUCUUGGCCUAACCAUUCCUCUGUCCUCUUCUCUGGCCUGCCUGGGGAGCCCGUGAAGGCCGCGUGGGUGCCUCUAGCCUGAGACAUCAGGGGAGAGCCUGCAGCUGAGUUCGGCAGAAAGGAGGAACCCUGGCCCUCAGGAAGAAGAUAGUCACAUGUUUUUCUUCCUUGUCCCCACAGCCCCCAGAACAACAUUCUCCCUGCUGGCAGCCCUUCCGUGUCUCCAAACCUGGGUCAGAGUGAAAGGACCUUUGGGGGUGGGUGGGAGCAAAGGGCCCACCUGCUGGUUGGUGAAUGCAGUGGUGCCGGAGUGCUAGGUACCGCACGAGAGGGUGUGGGGGCUUGGGAAGCAGACCAGGGUUGGACAAAACCCCAUGAGGGCGGGGAGCUGGAAGAAAAGUCUCUUGGGGACCUCUGGGGCAAGGAGCUGAGAAGUCCUGCAGCACCAGGUGAGACUUGCUUACAGUGGAUGCCACUUCUAGGCCUCUGGACCGCAGAUGCCCUCCUCCCUCCUGCACACCUGGCCUCCUGGGCCUCCAGGUAAAGAGAGAGAGCCAGCCCAGCCCUGUUUCCCCUCAGUCCUCCUUUGCUCCUGCUGCUUCUCCCAACAGCCCACUGUUAGGAGGUAGUAGACCCCAGCCUCAAGGCUCUGACCUUCUUCAUGUGGGCACAGAGGGUCCUGACACUCUGGCAGGGCCUGAGCUGGGGCAGGCCUCCCUCAGGGCCAGGGGCGAUGGCACCCCAGGGACAGGCAGACCUCCUUCCUGCCGUCAGCACCCCCUUCCUUAUCACUGUCUGGUCUCUGAGCUUCAGCUGAAGCCUGAGGUGUGUCCUGGGCUCCUCAGAGCCUGAAGCAAGCUUUUGGAAGCCUGCAGUCCUCCCAGCUCCAGUGCAGAAGCCUCUCUCUCCAGCCUUUCCCCAGGCAGGAGUUGGGGUUGGGGGCCUCUGUCCCUCAUCGCUUACCUUGGAAAGGUGGGAAGCUGACAAUCUGCACCUUGGGGCCUGGGCUCCCCCUCUCUGUGCCAGCGGCUUCCCAGCACCUGGGGAGGGGCUGCAGCCCCAGCUGGACUCCAGCCUGUCCCUCUUAGCACUCUAGCUGCCCACUCCAGGGCAGGGACUCGAAACCCCCUCCGUCCUGAGCAGCCACCUCCAGGGCCCUGUUUGGGACCACUCUCUCAGUCCCCAGGUCCUCAGGGCCCCAGAGCGGGAGGGUCUCCUACCUGGAAGUCCCCCUGAGCUCCAGGGCCCAGCCCUACCUGCCAGUGCUGGUGUCAGGGCACUCAACACCGAGUGUGGGGGCCACACCCCUUGCCAUGCCCAUGGCCUCCUCCUGUAGCCCCUGCCCGCACCCUCGAUGCUGCACGGGCCCGCCCUGGUGGGGCUCGGCGAGUAAUGUGUUUUGUCCCCAGUUAACCACCAUUCUGCGGCCUGGUUCUGCAAGGAACCAGGGCUGCCCCACCGCCCGCCGUCUGCCGCCCUAGGCUUCCUGACUCCAUUAGUUCCGACACUUGUGAAACUCCGAGAAGUGCUGUGGUCUCAGCAAUGCACCUGUUUUGUACAUGAUUGUGUAAUUUAAAAGUAUAUAAAUACAAAUAUAUAUAUAUAUCAGUUGUGAUUGUAUGACUGUGGAUAAAAUCCAGAACUGUGUCAACCUGGCUGCCCAUUGUCAUCUUGAGUCUGUGCACCUUCUUCAGUCCUGGGGGUUUCUGAGCCCUCUGAGAGCUAUUUGUGGUUGGGAUGCAGGGGGGUAGGGGUGGUGCCCGAGCAGGACUGGGUGCUGUCCUGGCCCACCAUCCACAGACUAGGCCACUGAGAGCCGGUCCCUUCACCCUGCAGGGGCCUGGGUCUUGUCUGGACUGGGGAGGGUGAUACUGGAGGCUCCUGGAGCUCUGGCCCAUUCAGGUUCCGGGCGCCUGGUGACAGGCCCUGACCAGGAGAGCUGGGGCAUUCAGGGUUCCACAUUCAUGGAUCAAGAGUGAAUGAGGCCCUCAAAUAGGUUUUGUUUUUUAAAGCAGAAUUCUAAAAGUGACUGCUGAGGCCCAUGGUUCCUGGCUGCCCGCAGUGCCAAGCUCCCUGUGUGGUGACGUUGGGCCAUGCCACGCCUUCCUGCGUCUCGCCUGGCUCUGAAUGCAUUUCUGUGUGGGACCCGUGGGAGGGCUCCUUAGGGAGAAUUUCUCAGGGGCAUGGGCAGGACCAGAGCUCUGGGUUCUUGGCUGUUCUGCCAGCCCCUAGCCCAGUCCUUGCUCUAGCUCCCUGACUCCCCCUGCAUCCAGCUCCAGGGGAUCUCUUCCAGGGUAGCACAGAAGUCCCAGGGCCAGUCCCAGUUCCACCAUCAGCUCACUGUGUUCCCACCCUCACCUGGGCCUCAGCUUCCCCAGUCUGGUGAGAUGUCUCUCUGAGGGUCCUCUGGCCCUGGCAGCCUGGCAGGGCCGUCAUACAAGCCCAUUACUCGGGGCAAAUAUACCCCUGUCCCUUCCCUGACACCCCUUGCCCCCAACCUCAGGGUGUGCCAGGCAGGGAGAAAGGUUGAGAUGGAGAUUGAAUCUAUUUGCCACCCCAUCUUCCUUACUCCUCCUAAAUCUAUUUGCCACCCCAUCUUCCUUACUCCUCCAAACUUACCUCUAUGUGAAGCCCUGCUUUU